GGCGUGCGGGGUGGUACGGGACAUGGGGUUCCAGCUGGAAGGUGGGGAGGGGAGAAGCGGGCACAACUGCUGGGCGUUUAGCGUGCUGAGACCAUGUGGGAUUUUAAGUGACACGUUUCUGUUGUGUGGGUGCUUUCACCAAAAGAAGGGGUGACAUGAUGGGGGAACAACUGGGGGCAGCGGCACGGGGAGGGUGCAGGUGUGGUGAGGCUGGGGGUGGGGGGUGUGGGACUCUGGGGGCUGGUCAAGGACAGGGAGCCGCCAGGGAGGGGGUCCAAGCAAGUGCACAGCCUGGUCUGCAAAGGGACAUGUACCACUUACAACAGAUGUGACCAAGGGUCAGUGUCACUGAGAAAGCACUCACAAACCACUUUUUCAUAUGACCCCGUUAUAAAAUCACACAAAAUAUAUGAAUUAAUUCACACUCACAAAAUGCAAAUGGCUUAUAAUUACAAGCCUUUGAGAAAUACCCAGUCUUACCAGCAAUCAAAGAACUGAAGCAAAUGAGAGAAGACAACCAUUUCUCAUUUAUCAGUUUAGCAAACAUUCAAACCAACACUGAAUACUUGCAACUGAGGGCAAAGUAAGUAAUACUACUCAUAGACACUGCCUGUGGGAACAGCAAUUGGUGUAACUCACCCGGAAAGGACCCUAACUUUUAAGAAGUGUAAAAUAUCCAUACCAUCUGACCCAGAAAUCCCCCUCCAGGGAACUACUCCUGGUCAUAUGGUUGGUAUUAAGAAUGCACUGUUACGGGCGCCUGGGUGGCUCAGUCGGUUAAGCUUCUGACUUUGCUCAGGUCGUGAUCUCACAGUUUGUGAGUUUGAGCCCCGCGUUGGGCUCUGUGCUGACAGCUUGGAGCCUGCUUCGGAUUCUGUGUCUCCCUCUCUCUCUGCCCCGCCCACUCUCUCAAAAAUAACCGUUAAAAAAAAUGGUAAAUUAAAAAAAAAGGAUGCACUUUUAUAAACGCAGAGGGGUUAAAUGAAAGUCCUGUCGAUGGAGGGCUCCUGGUUACUACACAGCAGGAUGAACAGCAGGAAUGGCGUUCCCAUCACAUCAGGUAGAAGCAACCUAUUUUAUGAUACUGAUAGAAGGUCUUAUAAAAUAUUUUGUAUUUUUUAAUUUAUUUGAGAGAGAGUGAGCGGGGGAGGGGCAGAGAGAGAAUCCCGAGCAGGCUCCACACUGUCAGGACAGAGCCCCACGUGGGGCUCGAACUCACAAACUGUGAGAUCGUGACCUGAGCCGAAACCAAGAGUUGGACACUUAACCGACUAGCCACCCAGGUGCCCCUAAAAGACUUUCUUGUAAUGAGAAAAGAAAUAGGAAGGUUGAUUACAGACCCCUUAGGGGUGUUUCUUUAUUCAAUAAUUAGUGACCAUGACGCAGGCAGUGUUCUGGGUACUGCGGCAAGAGCAGUGACCAAAACACAAAGGAUGUGUUCUCACAAGGCUUACAUCCCAGCAGUGGGAGACCAGUAACACAUAAUUCGGUACGUAUAUGUCAGGCACUGUGAAGACGAAAAAGUAGGGUGGGGGGGGGCAGUGACAGGUGCUAUGCUAAGUCAGUCUGACAACAGACUACCUCAGUGCACUGGUGAGAGCUGGGAAUGAGCAGCUUCCUACACUUUUGAGAUCAUUACGGAGUCAGUAUGCAUUUGUGACUCACUGUUUUCAUGGAAAACUGAGUUCUAAAUUCCAGACACCAGACAUACAGACAUAUUUGCAGAACACAAUCUGGUUUAAGCUGCCAUGCUACUCAAGCAGUGGGAAAAAACCCUUCACUACUGAUCACAUUGUUAAGUUUUUCAGGAAACUACUCACCUGACGAGACAUGUACAUGGAAUAGGAUGGCUUACCCCAAGUUUUCUUCCUUCUGAAGGGGCUCUAGACAGAUCUCCGUUUUCCUUCCCAGUUUAUACUCCCUGAUAAAAGAAAUGAAACAAAAUACUAUUGAGUGACAUUUAAGUUUUUAGAUUUUUGGGGGGAAAAUUCUAAGUUUUCUCUUGAGCAAAAGAAUAUACUAAAUAAGAACACUCAAUAUUUGAGAGGCAACUAUGAACAAAUGGAUGCCAACAAACUGGACAGGCUGGAAAACAAUGGCUCUCUGCUAGUGACUUCUUGCUCAUCACAAUGUGCGCGCUCAAUUCUGUCCGUGGAGAACAACUUAGAGUAAAACAGCGUUCGCGCUCCGGCUUCUCAGAAGUCAGAGGACACACUGGCUGCCACUGUUCUGUUCUCACCUUGGGUGGAAGUAGCUGUCCAGACCCCACUUGGAGAAGGGGUACCGUCCACCUGGUCCUGAUGACUCUUCCAAUGACCGGAGGGACCCCCAGGCUGGUACCACCAGAUGGGCACCUUCAGGAAACCCUGAAGAAUGGAGCAUUUCUAACUUCUGUGACGUACAUGCAUGGAGUGAAUUUCUACUUCCACAGAGAGAAAUAUCUUGAUAACAGAAAACGUUCCUGAAUGUAUUACUUUUCUUUUUAGAUUACUAACUGCCAUACGCUACAUCUGUUUAUUGUUUUUACAAUCAAAAGUUUAAGAUCGGGGCUCUUGGGUGGCUCAGUUGGUUAAGCACCAGACUCUUGAUUUAGGCUCAGGUCGUGAUCUUGUGGUUUGUGAGAUCGGGCCCUGCGUCAGGCUCUGUGCCAUCAGCGCAGAGCCUGCUUGCAAUUCUCUCUCUUCCUUGCCCCUCUCCUGCUCUCUCC